UACGGAAGGUGCGAGCGUUGUCCGGAAUCACUGGGCGUAAAGGGCGCGUAGGCGGCGCGGGAAGUCCGUGGUGAAAGCCCGAGGCUCAACUUCGGGUCGGCCAUGGAUACUCCUGGGCUCGAGCACUGUAGAGGCAGGUGGAAUUCCGGGUGUAGCGGUGGAAUGCGUAGAGAUCCGGAAGAACACCGGUGGCGAAGGCGGUCUGCUGGGCAGUUGCUGACACUGAUGCGCGACAGCGUGGGGAGCAAACAGG
rnacentral:rRNA from 1 species